UUAAAAGCUUGCAAUGUCUGCUCCCAGCAUCCCUCCAUACCGGGUGUUCAAGUGCUAAUCAUGAUUAACAUUAUUUCGUAUAAAUACAUCAGAGAAGGAAAAGCGUCCUUGCCUCUCCAGUCUCACAUUCUGUUCACAUUCCGCUGAAAAGAUGGAGAGGGAUCUGUCAACACAUCCGCCCACUCGCCAUGGUGUACCGAGCGUGCCAGAACAAACAGGCCCCUAAUGACGCGACUCCAUCAUUUCAUAACAUGGAAACAAGGGUGGCGAAGGGAGCGAUUUGUCAGCCCGAAGAGGGGAAGAAAACACGAAAAUGUCAAUUGUCAUCGUCUACUAAAAAACAAAACAUGAGUCGGAAGCAUGAGGCGAAGCGUCAUUGUAAUGAUGCCAAGAAUAGCACAGGCACCAGGAUUUCCAUGCCUGUCUGAGCCGGCAUCUCAGUCCUGGAAGUAGAUGGUGGCCCUGGAUGAUGCUUGAACAAUGGUGGUGCCAUCUUUUUGGAGAGAAAAGCAGACAAAAGCAUUGUCAGUGGGCAUACUUUGACAUCUGUAAGAAGUACGGUAAUAAAUGGCAGGAAGUGUUACAGU